GACAGAGGUGCCGAGCGUUAGGCGGAAUCACUGGGCUUAAAGCGUGUGUAGGCGGAUCUGUAAGUACCUUGUGAAAUCCCACGGCUCAACCGUGGAACUGCUUGGUAUACUGCGGGUCUUGAGCCACCUAGGGGCAAGUGGAACAAACGGUGGAGCGGUGAAAUGCGUAGAUAUCAGGAGGAACACCGGUGGUGUAGACGGCUUUCUGGACCGUAACUGACGCUGAGACACGAAAGCGUGGGUAGCAAACAGG
rnacentral:rRNA from 1 species